UCAUGAUUAAAUUAAAUGUCAAAUCUCAAGACAUGAAAUUUUUAACAGAGUUUUGGUCCAUAAUAAUCCAAGUAACACAUGUUUUAAUAAAUAUAUUUUUAAAACGGAUGCAAGCACUAAAAAAGACAACGUUAAAAAAUUAAGCAAAAAUUUAUAACGAACCAUGUUGACGAUUGGAUACGAAUCGCAGAAAAGCACCAUUAUCGAAUGGUUAUAAAUCAAAACUUUGUAUUAUAAUUGCGUAAAUAUAUUUUAAAAUUUAA